UACUCUGCAGUUUUUUUAAGGCGAAAAUGAAAGAGAUUGCUUUUGCAGCAAAAUUUGCCUGCAGGAUCUGUUGUGUCAUUACAGGAUAAUACCAACAGCAUACUUUGGUGAGCAAGCAAAGCAGCUGAACUUUUUGGAGAAGCACAUUUCAGGACUUUGUGGGAAGAAUUACAUGGGGUUAAACCUCAGGCCUAAAGCAUCCAGGGCUACACCAGGAAGAUAUGAUGGAAUAAGUGACUGAUGAUCCUGAUGCUGCUCCCAAGCAUGCAAGUGGAAAUCAUUAUUGUAACAGAUCUAUAGACCUUAUUAUUUGAAGAAAGGAACAUUUCAGAUUGUUUAAAGAUAAGGUGACCAGAUGAUUUUGAAGGAGGGGGUUUAAUGUCCCCAGUCAAAUCCCAAUCUUCCAUCCCGGAUGGCCAGAACCAAGCUGAGGGGUCGAUGUCAUACUCCAGAUUCCUGAAGAAAAUUGUAUUUUCCCAGCUCAGUCAAGGUGCACACUCAAGACAAGGGCAGAAAAAGUGUUUCAAAGAUGUCCUCACGAUUAACUUGAAAAAAAUGCAAAAUUGACAUCAACCUAUGAGAGACUAUCACCCAGAACUGCCCCAAAUGAUGGAAGAAUCUUCUGCAAGGAUCUCAGUAUUUUGAAACCUCAAGAUGAGAAGAAGGCACAGAAAAGCAGGAGUGGCAGAAACAGCAUGUCACAGACUGAUCCAAAAAUCCAAAGCCACGCACCCAGCACAGAAACAUGCUCGAGUUGCCAUGGAACCUGUCAAUCCCAGAUUGGUCUUGUCAGCCACUUUCAGAACCACAAAUAAGGCAAUCAUAGAAGACAAUCAUCCUUGACCAUGAGGAUUUGCCAGUGAUGAUGAUCACUAGAAUGACAAUAAAUAUACCUGCUGGAUGUGGAGGUAGAGCAAUAUUUGUUCUUGAGCUUAAUUGACAAAACUCCUCAUGAAAACAAGGUAUGUAUCUCAUCAAACUAUUCUGGCAAGUGAAAUGUUAAGUGAAAAAAAGCAUAAAUAAAUGAAUAAAUAAAUAAACCCACCUAAAUUUC